GAGGGAAUAGCUCAGUGGUAGAGCGCAUGCCUAGCAUGCGCAAGGUCCUGGGUUCAAUCCCCAGUACCUCCA
rnacentral:tRNA from 1 species